rnacentral:lncRNA from 1 species
UUCUGGGGCUGAAGUAAGUUGUGCCAAGCGAGUUUUGGAUGCUUUCCAAUUUACUGCCAAUUUCUUAGGGAAAACCUGUGAGGGCGGUGUUUACCCACACCUAACUCUUUCAUUUCUUUUGAUAUAGACCAAAGAUCAGCUCAUCACCUCUGCUAGGAAAAUUGCGACUUCUGGACAAAACUUCGCCAAACUUAUCUGCAUCAUUGCUAAGAACUGCACAGAUCAAAGAUGUUCCCAGGAGCUUCUGUGUGCGGUAGAGCAGAUUCAGACAGUGAGCAGCCAGCUCCGCAUCAUCUCCGGUGUAAAGGCCUCCCUGGCCAGAAGCAAGUCCUCUGAAGAGCUCCUGGUAGAAAAUGCACAGCAGCUCCUCUGUGCUGUCUCCAAGACUGUGGGGGCUGCAGAAGCCGCAAGUCUCCGGGUAAGUGCUGACCCCAAUAGCAUCAUUCACACAGCACCAUUGGGGUCACAGGCUGAGAGAAAUGUGGUAAAUUUCAGAAAUUGAUGAGGAAAA